rnacentral:rRNA from 1 species
GUGAGGAAUAUUGGUCAAUGGGCGAGAGCCUGAACCAGCCAAGUCGCGUGAAGGAAGAAGGAUCUAUGGUUCGUAAACUUCUUUUGCAGGGGAAUAAAGUGCAGGACGUGUCCUGUUUUGUAUGUACCCUGAGAAUAAGGAUCGGCUAACUCCGUGCCAGCAGCCGCGGUAAUACGGAGGAUCCGAGCGUUAUCCGGAUUUAUUGGGUUUAAAGGGUGCGUAGGUGGUUUGAUAAGUCAGCGGUGAAAGUUUGCAGCUUAACUGUAAAAAUGCCGUUGAAACUGUCGGACUUGAGUGUAAAUGAGGUAGGCGGAAUGCGUGGUGUAGCGGUGAAAUGCAUAGAUAUCACGCAGAACUCUGAUUGCGAAGGCAGCUUACUAAGCUACAACUGACACUGAAGCACGAAAGCGUGGGGAUCAAACAGGAUUAGAAACCCUGGUAGUCC